AUCCAUUAAACCACAAUAGGCUUUGUGCUUUGUUACUUUUGAUAAGAAACAAAGUCUUAGAUUUGAAUUCUGUCCAUCUUAUCUUGAAAUGUCACCAAUAAAUCUGACUGUGGUGCUCUCUAUCUAAUGCAGUGACGAUCACGCAGUGUGCCUCAGGUCAAGUGAAGCGGCAGCAUGCAGCACACUUGAAAGAUCACGUCUUCCUCUGUUUUUAACACCAGUUACGGGCUACAGCGCCAAAUAAACAUGAAUGAAUGCCAAAGGGUCUGUAAACAGAUACAGGACAAUUUACUGACAUUAAUCCUGUCACAUGUAAUCGCUCAAUCAGUGUUUCAGCUGUACUUCAGAGACGUCACAAACAGCUCGUCAACAAGAUGUCAUGUUUCUCAUCAAAUCCAUAUUCAGGGACCAUGAACUUGGUAUUCAGCUAGAAAAUUACUUCUGGAGAGGAGCAUUUUGAUAAAUAAAUACACCAUAUUACAUUCAUUGUAAUGUUUAAUCAAUAUUGUUGUUGUACUUUAGGAUAGUUGGUGAAAUAAUGGCAGUGAGCAUUACUCAGGAUGGACCUUUUUCAUGGAGUGGAUUUACAAUUUCAUUUCUUCCGGGAGAUUAAUAAAGAUGAGCUGACAUAACAGAUGCAGACCUGCUAGAUCUGAUUGACAAGAUUGAGUCUGCAGACACUACAGCCUUGCUUGAGCUUUCUGAAAGAAUCGUAGCAUGUGGUACACAGGAUCCUAACAUGUGAUGAAAGGAAGACAUUGUCAGGAGUGAGGACUUUGACAGAACGGGGCACAAUGUCCGGCUUAAAGAUGGUGCUGUGCCAAACAUUUUUAACUUUCCAGCUCAUCUUCAAAGGGUCUGUGUAUCACUGACCAACAAUAACUCAAGGUGGCUGGAAUAACAACCCUAAUGCCGUCCAGUUGAAGCACAUCUUUAGGAAGCUGAUGUUAAACAGAGGCAAUGUGACGGCACAGGAUGAGUCCCUACCAGCUGUCCUCAACACCUCUUCAAGCCUGUCAGCUGUAGAUAUGAGGAAAAGAUCUUCCAUCCCUGUUUGCUGACAUUCCUGCCCUAGUACAUGACCACAUUUACCUUCCCGUCUGCUUCGACGGUCUUGUGGACAACGCUCUCUUGUACAUUUCAGGUAAAGACUGACUAAAAGUCGAUCAUCGUGGUGACAGACACUGAAUCUGCCAUCAAGGACCAGAGCUAUAGUCAUAAUGCAGUGUCAUAAGUACAUCUCUGACGUUUAUAACAAACCAAACAGUUUGAAAAUUGGUAGAAAAUUGAGCAAGUUAUGAUUAUUUAAAAAGUACAUGCACCAUUAAAACACAAUGUUAGAGCAAACAAACUCAUGGUUU